GAGCCAGGCAGCCCUAGGGACAGGGGUGAGGGGCGGGGAAGGGGGUGCGGGGAGGGCGGGGAAGCAGGGCGGCUGCCACUGGGUGGCUAAGUCUCCACCAGCGAUCAGUGGCCGUUGGCUAGGCAGCUGCAGCAUCCAUGUUGACUGCCCAAAGCGGAAGUCGUGAGGCAGAAAGGAAGGAGAACUGCAGGGGCUUCCGACAGAGACCUGUGCCUUUGUCAGCUGUACGGUGCUGGGACGCUUGGGGGCGCGUAGGAGUGGAGCGGCCCCGACGCUGGGGCAGGAAAAACGAAAGAGCACAGCUGCUGAAAUCAGACCACUAAAUUAAAAUCCUAGCUCGACCACUUACAAUCUGAAUGCUCUUCAGCAAGUUACUUCACUUCUCAGGACCUCAGUUUCCUCAUCUGUAACAAUAGUAUUUACCUCAGAGGAUGAUUAUGAAGAAUAAAUGAGUUAAUGUUUGCAAAGAGCUUAAAACAACCCAUCUAUCCUUCUUUACCUGCUCUGUGCCAAGAAAGCAGACCUCUAUGGACUCCACCAAUAGGCUCCUGUGUCCUUUGGCUUCCGGGUGAGCUCUGUCCCUGAGGAGACCCAGCAGGAGAUCAGAGGGAGAAAGGAGGACAGGUGCCAUACGUGGAAGUCCUGAAAACCUCGCACAGAGAUCCAGGGCUCCCUGACCCAAGGCUGCCACCCAAGGACUGAGUGAAGGAAGAGCUAAAGAUUUUUCAACUUGAGGGUAAUUAUGAAGUAGCCUGGUGUCUGGAACCCAUUAAAACAUAACCAACAAUGUUCUAAACUUAUUUCCUGUUGUGUUCUAAACUUGUUUCUUGGCUACAGGUAC